rnacentral:pre_miRNA from 1 species
AAUUUAUGACGCCGUUGACUUUUUGUCCAACGUUUGACCAUUCGUUUUAUUCAAAAAAUAUAUGUAAUUAUCAUUUAUUUUUUUAUGACUUCUUUAAGCAUGACAUAAAUAUUUUCAUAUUUGCAUAAAAAUUUUGAAUAAAACGAAUGGUCAAACGUUGGUCGAAAAGUCAACGGCGUCAUACAUU